rnacentral:lncRNA from 1 species
GCUGGCCAUUGCCAAGGUGCUUGAAUGACACCACGAAGAGCAGCAACAGGAAUUUGCCAGAACACUGUCCUGUGAGCAGGAAACUGAAGUCUGAACUUCUGUCUGUCCCCUUGACUGAAUCAAAGUCACUGAAGUAGAUCUGCUUGGAAAGCUUGGAUAUGGAUGAAGAUUGUGGCUCAGACUGCUAAGUUCUCCAUAAUCACCUCUCCAAAUGACAGGAGGAGCAAGAAGGAUAAUCACCUGACACUGUUGGAAACCCCAGUCCAUAUCAGAUCACACAGGGCACAUAC